rnacentral:rRNA from 1 species
UACGUAGGGCGCAAGCGUUGUCCGGAAUUAUUGGGCGUAAAGAGCUCGUAGGCGGCUUGUCACGUCGGGUGUGAAAGCCCGGGGCUUAACCCCGGGUCUGCAUUCGAUACGGGCUAGCUAGAGUGUGGUAGGGGAGAUCGGAAUUCCUGGUGUAGCGGUGAAAUGCGUAGAUAUCUGGAGGAACACCGGUGGCGAAGGCGGCAUCCUGGACCAUGACUGACGCUGAGGAGCGAAAGCCAGGGGAGCAAACGGG